rnacentral:tRNA from 1 species
GGGGAUUAGCUCAGCUGGGAGAGCGCCUGCUUUGCACGCAGGAGGUCAUCGGUUCGAUCCCGUUAUCCUCCA